rnacentral:rRNA from 1 species
UACCAGCACCCCGAGUGGUCGGGACGUUUAUUGGGCCUAAAGCAUCCGUAGCCGGUUCUACAAGUCUUCCGUUAAAUCCAACUGCUUAACAGGUGGGCUGCGGAAGAUACUAUAGAGCUAGGAGGCGGGAGAGGCAAGCGGUACUCGAUGGGUAGGGGUAAAAUCCGUUGAUCCAUUGAAGACCACCAGUGGCGAAGGCGGCUUGCCAGAACGCGCUCGACGGUGAGGGAUGGAAGCUGGGGGAGCAAACCGG